rnacentral:rRNA from 1 species
GGGGAAUAUUGCACAAUGGGCGCAAGCCUGAUGCAGCCAUGCCGCGUGUGUGAAGAAGGCCUUCGGGUUGUAAAGCACUUUCAGCGGGGAGGAAGGCGGUGAGGUUAAUAACCUCACCGAUUGACGUUACCCGCAGAAGAAGCACCGGCUAACUCCGUGCCAGCAGCCGCGGUAAUACGGAGGGUGCAAGCGUUAAUCGGAAUUACUGGGCGUAAAGCGCACGCAGGCGGUCUGUCAAGUCGGAUGUGAAAUCCCCGGGCUCAACCUGGGAACUGCAUUCGGAACUGGCAGGCUAGAGUCUUGUAGAGGGGGGUAGAAUUCCAGGUGUAGCGGUGAAAUGCGUAGAGAUCUGGAGGAAUACCGGUGGCGAAGGCGGCCCAUUGGACAAAGACUGACGCUCAGGGGCGAAAGCGUGGGGAGCAAAC